rnacentral:rRNA from 1 species
UACGGAGGGGGCUAGCGUUGUUCGGAAUUACUGGGCGUAAAGGGCGCGUAGGCGGCGCGAUAAGUUGGGCGUGAAAGGCCCGGGCUCAACCCGGGGACUGCGCUUGAUACUGUCGCGCUGUGAGUCCGGGAGAGGAUGGCGGAAUUCCCAGUGUAGAGGUGAAAUUCGUAGAUAUUGGGAGGAACACCAGUGGCGAAGGCGGCUUCCUGGACCGGUUCUGACACUGAGGAGCGAAAGCGUGGGGAGCGAUCCGG